GUGACACAUGCGCAGUAGCCUACAUAUCCGCUCACCCAAGCAACAUGGCCACGCACCGCCACGCACAGGGGACAGGCGAACGUUCGGAGAGCGGGCUCUGAGAGUAUCCCGAGGUGGAGGUCUACUUCUCGUAUCUUUGUGUCGGCAUGGAGACUUCCACACAACUGGAAAGAGGACCAGUAAAACAAACUAAUGAAAUAGGCUAAUAUCGAUAUGCGGAGUGUUGUGAGGACUGCUGCCCUGAGAACACCGAGUGCAUUCUGGAAUAUGGAUUUGGCAGACGCCUUUGUCCAAAGCGACACAUAAAUACAAAACAACAUAAUAUUUAAAAUUGAACAGAGCCCUCACAAAUAAAUGGAUAUAAAGAAUAAACAUAGAUGGUGAUGGUGACGGGUGCCUUCAGAAGGUGCCAUCCAGCAGUCCCAGCCUGGAGAGGCUGCUAUUGCAAAUCAGAUGGGGUAUGAUCUAUGUUGGGCAUCAGAAAGUUGAGUUGCAAGAGUUGCUACAGACAAUAAUACGAUUAGGUAUGAUAUCACACAGACAUACUACUGUGCAAAAGUGUAAGGUCACUUUGAAAUGUCCUCUUUAUCAAAAGAAAAACAUCAGACAUAUCUAAGUGUACCCCAAACUUUAUAUAAUUUAUAAUAUAGUGGUGUAUAUCUUGUACACAUCUGCAUUACUUCUAACUAGGUUCGAGAGGGAUCCCGUGUGCGCAGUACUGCUCCUCUGCUUUGUGAUGGUGAGACAUGUCUAACCUACAGUAUAUUACAUCCUUAUGUGUUCUUGAGAACACCAUAAGUUAUAUGGAAAGUCCGAAAAUAAAAGAGAAGGUGUCUAUGCUAGUAAAUAAAGCUCUGACCAUUCAUUCCAA